CCUCAAGUUCUGCCGCUACACAGAGCAAGAAGAGGGAGACUGUGAUGGAAAAGGAGACGACUUAAAAACGCUGGAAGAAGAGACAAACAUGAGUCAAUAUUUGGGAUGCAUUUCUGAGACAGCUGAAGGAUUUGAAGGGUCUCUAAAGCGCCGCCAUAGUUGCUGAUUUUCUACUGGACAGCAACGAGAAGGAAACAUCGACGUCCACACCGUUAAAACACGGGACGCAGAGGCUUGCGUGAGCUGGGGGGGAUGCCCAAGAAGAGAACCAGGAGGCGGGUUGAUCCACGCCAACAUGUUUACCUUCAACAGCCAUUAUUUUUAUUUCUGUAAUAAAUACAUUUUCUAAUAAAAGUAAAUGUAAAACAA